rnacentral:rRNA from 1 species
GAUGAACGCUGGCGGCGUGCCUAAUACAUGCAAGUCGAGCGAACAGAUAAGGAGCUUGCUCCUUUGACGUUAGCGGCGGACGGGUGAGUAACACGUGGGUAACCUACCUAUAAGACUGGAAUAACUCCGGGAAACCGGGGCUAAUGCCGGAUAACAUUUAGAACCGCAUGGUUCUAAAGUGAAAGAUGGUUUUGCUAUCACUUAUAGAUGGACCCGCGCCGUAUUAGCUAGUUGGUAAGGUAACGGCUUACCAAGGCAACGAUACGUAGCCGACCUGAGAGGGUGAUCGGCCACACUGGAACUGAGACACGGUCCAGACUCCUACGGGAGGCAGCAGUAGGGAAUCUUCCGUAAUGGGCGAAAGCCUGACGGAGCAACGCCGCGUGAGUGAUGAAGGUCUUCGGAUCGUAAAACUCUGUUAUUAGGGAAGAACAAAUGUGUAAGUAACUGUGCACGUCUUGACGGUACCUAAUCAGAAAGCCACGGCUAACUACGUG